UACAGGGGGGGCAAGCGUUGUUCGGAAUUACUGGGCGUAAAGGGCCAGUAGGCGGCCAACUAAGUCACACGUGAAAUCCCCAGGCUUAACCUGGGAACUGCGUGUGAUACAGGAUGGCUUGAAUUCGGGAGAGGGAUGCAGAAUUCCAGGUGUAGCGGUGAAAUGCGUAGAUAUCUGGAGGAAUACCGGUGGCGAAGGCGGCAUCCUGGACCGACAUUGACGCUGAACGGCGAAAGCUAGGGGAGCAAACGGG
rnacentral:rRNA from 1 species